AUACAGAUUCGAACCAAAACUAACUACAACCUAUGUGAAAUUUACAACUAUACCAAAUCCAAUUCUGAGUUCAAAACAAAACUAGCAUCAUAUGAACAUAUUGUGAAAAAUCAAGACACUUGAAUCUUAGUAAACACAAUCAUCAACAACACUAUAUCUACAACUUUUCCAAACAUCAGACAAUACACAGAAUAUAAUACUUAUCAAAUCAGACAAACCGAAAUCGCCUUCGUCAAUAACAACAUGUACGCUACGAAACAAAUAAAAUAACACAAACACUGAAAUGUUACCGCAUCGAAUGUUGCUGCCCUGUUUUGUUAUCAGUGGCGUCAUUGCUGUAUUGCCAAUAUUGUGCUCAAGGUAGAUGGAAUCGACAUGUUGAUGCUGAAGAUUUUAUGCGUAUCCAUUGCCUUUCCAGCAAACGCCUCAGUAACAAACACUAAUCAAAACUGAAUCUCUGCCAAAUCCACAAACAUUAACGCAUAACCCGAUAGCUUUCCCGGAUCUCACCUGUGUACAGAUACACAGAUCGGAAAGGAACUGUGAGUUAUGAAGGGGCGGCGACGACGAUGAUGAUGAUGGGCGUGAGGCAGCGGUUGUGAGUUGCUUGAAUCUGAGCUGGAACCGCGUCAAAAUAACCAGAGGCUACCUCCUCAAACCACUUUCACGAGCCAACAAAAGGAACAACCGUGAAGGAAAUCGUGCGAGUUGGUGGUGGAGCCGUUUUGGGUGUUGACGGCGGAUUUAGGGUUUGAAGAGGGUUGAAGAUGAUUGACGGCGGAGUAAGAGUUUCGUGUGAUGUUUGAUAAUGAAGCCGUUUUGGGUGUUGACGGCGGAUUUAGGGGUUUAAUGGUGUUUGGUGAGCGGCUUGACGGAGGAAGCGUGUGGUAGUGAAGAGAGACACUGAUUUCUCUCUUUUAUUGCUUAUGUUUUCUGUUUCGUGAAGGAAUCCGUGGUUUUGUGAGUGCGUAGUUGAGUGAUGAAGGGUGUGCGAUGGUGAAUGGAGUGGAGUCGGAUGGAGGGUUUGUGUGGGCUAACGGCGAGGCCACGAAGAUGGAUUUCUGAGUGAAGUUGUGAGAAUUUUUAGUGUAGUAGGUUGUUAGGUGAUAGCUGGAGAGUGAGUGAGAGAAUGAAAGGGUUAUGUAGUUAGCGUGAGAGAAAAAGACAAAAGAAGAGUGGGGAGAGAGAGAUGAAUCGUGAUUCUGAGUGGGUGUGAGAGGAAAAUUAAGGAAUGAGGAGUGUGUGUCCGUUUGUGGGUGGAUCCUGAGUGGAGGUGAGGUGGCGAGAGAUCUUCUGAGUGAGGAUCUCUUGUGUGACCGUUGGGGAAUGAUUUUUUUUUAGAGUAUUAAUUUUUAUUUUUAUUUUCCAUUUUUAUUAAUAACUCCUAUUAUCUAUUUUAAAAAUAUAUUCAUUAGAACUUCUUAAAUAUUAAUUUAAUUUAGAUAAUAAUGAUAGUAAUAAAAAAAAAACUAAUUUGUACAUUAGACUAAAGAAAUAAAAGGAUUGAUUAUACUUAUCAGUCGGGUGUAAAUUUAUUCGAAUAAUUAAUUUGAACACACCAAAAUAAUCAGUACAGAAUAUAUUUAUUGAAAAAUACAGUGUUUCUUCAAAUUUUAAUGAUUCCACCGAUUUGUCUGUAUUCUCAAAUAAAUUCAUUCUGACUGACAUUUUUAGGUAUUAUUCACGAUGCAAUGUAUGUAAUGCUAUGCAUAGGAUGCGAAAAUGAAAAUGAAGUCAGAUUUACAAAAAUUUAAAUAUGCCCGGACAAAAUUGGGGUAUGACAGAUAUGGGGCUACAUUAUAGGUCACUUUUGACCUAUACCAUUGAUCAAGUGAUUUUUCCAAACUUCAAAAAUGCAUAACUCUAUCAUUUCAAAUCCAAAUUACAUGAAAUUGGUGACCAUUUUGAAGGUCUUUUAGAGAGCUAUAACUUUGAUGAAAACAGUUUUCUCAUUUGAAGCUCCCAUAAAAAGUUAAGUAAGGUGGAACAUUGAGACAUAUGGCUUGACACUUAGAAAAAAAUUGAUAUGUCAAACUUUUCCAAACUUCCACCUCAAAUUUCUCCAAGUUUCAAGCUCCAAAUGAAAAAGUGUUGAACAUCAAACUUUUUCCCCUUGAUCUCACCUUUCCAAAGAGCUCACAUUCAUUCAUUUUCAAUGAGAAAUGUAUAGGUUGCGCAUGGCUUAAACAAGCUGAUAUCAUUUGGCAUGGAUCAAACUUCAAACAUCAAUGUGCAUUUACCUUGCUAUCCAAGCUUACUUCAAUGCAUCUGAUCUAUAAUUAUGGACUUCUAGCAAUCAUUUCAUGGGCCUAUGCGCGCCCAUGCAACAUUACAUCACCAUUUGCCAAUUUUGGAAAGUGAAAGUGAGUGUGCAAUUAUCAACCAAAUCAGCUAUAAAUAGAGCUUCAAUUCCUCAGAAAUUCACACACAAUCGUGCCAGCUUUGAUCCCCCAUUUCAAACCCCCAAUUCUCAAAGGAUAAGUCUGAUAAAUUCUCUUGAAUUUGAGCUUGAAUCUCCAUUGUUUUGGAAUUCAAUUCUCCAGGAAUCCAUUGCUUCUAAACCAUUCAGUCCUUCUCAUGCAAGCAAGUUUAGUGAGUCCAAGCAUAAGCAAGAUCAAGAUCCAUCGAAUCCAGACCUACAUUGAAGGUAAUUCUCAGAAAUUUUAAAGUCUUCGAUUCUCUCAUAUUAUUUCUCAAUUCUAUUGAUUCUUUGGUUGUCUGAAGUCCUACCAAUGUAGGCAAGAAGAUUGAGUUGCUUUGAGGUCAAAUCGAAGCAACUCAGUUCAUGUACCUCAAAUUUCAAUUCCACAUAUCUCUCAACUGAAGUCCUACCAAUGUAGGCAAGAAGAUUGAGUUGCUUUGAGGUCAAAUCGAAGCAACUCAGUUCAUGUACCUCAAAUUUCAAUUCCACAUAUCUCUCAAUAUACUUGGAAUUGGAAUGAAUGGAAGUCAGAUUCGAGCUCAGUGCCAUUUUUUAUUUAAGAUCAUGUCCUUGUUUUUUUUUGGUGAUGGUUCAUGUUGACCAGUCCGGUGAGGUCCACCAGAGAAGAUGACCGGAGCUCUAGCUCCGGCGAUGACUUGGCCAACCUCUGAACCACAUGAUCCUCCUCUCACGUUUUAAUCCAGGGCGUUGGUGUUGAUUACCACAUUUGCCAUGCAGUUGACUCACAUCAAUGUGGAACGCGCGCUUUUGAUCAUCACAUUUUCCACCUCAAUUAAUAAGGGAGAUCUGAUGGUCCACGUAAUUUAGAAUUUAUGAAUUUUCAUUUUAAUUGCAUUUUCUUCAAUAAUUCAUAUUAAAUUCAAUAUUGAUCCAAAAAAUAUGGUACUUUCACCAAAAAAUUUCAAAUAUUUUUCUCUUUCAUAUUCUGAAUUAAAAUUAUUUUUUGGAUCAUUAUUAAUAUUUUUCAUGAAUUAAUUGAUUUUGCAUUUGUUUUUAAUUGUUCAAAAAUAUUUUUAAAUGUCCAAAAAUCAUGAAAUUUUUUCUCCAAGGUCCUUUGACCUUGUUUGACCUAUGAUAAAUCUCAUGGCCAUUUCUUUGGUGUUUUGAUGAGAUUUUAGGAAUUGGACAAAACAUAUUUGAUUUAAAUGCAUUAUUUUAUUAUUUUUAGUUGAAUAAAUGCCAAUUAAAUUGUGUUGAUCAUUUGAAUUGACUUGUAUGUAUUUGCUUAUUGUUGUUGGACCUUGGUCAAGGUUGAUUUGACUUUGUCAAGUGAAUAUCAUUGGAUUUAGGGGAUUGAUGGAAUGUACAUUUCAUCUCCCAAAAUGAAUGAAUGAUAUUAAUUUGGUAAAAGUCCUCCUUUGACCAAUUUGUGAUCUCAUUCAUCCCCUUCCCACUUCAUCUCAUUCCACUUCUUCAUUCAUUCAUUUCCAUUUGGCCUAUGACAUCUCAAGGUCCUAAUGCUAGUUGAUUGAAAAAUUGACGUGAGUAUGGAUGAGAUUAGGCCACACCUUUUGCAUAUUUUUUGUGUGUGGUAUGUUUCAUGAGCAUAGUUCAUAAUACUAUGUCUCCAACAUGCAUUAACACCAAAAGUCUAUUGCCCCGCCUCAAAUGGUUGUGACUUCUACAUAAGUCCAAUUACGAUUGCUUAACAUAGCGCUAAAUCUGUGACAUAAAAGGCAUAAGCAUUCUAGUUAGUGAGAUUGUAAGUCUCCCCUCUUUCAUGGUAUUGUGUGGAAACUUGACCUUCUUUCCUUCCUUUUGAAGAUGUUUUGGUUCAAGGAUCCAUGCUUGUGAUAAGUGGGUUGAGUGUUCUCCAAAGAAUGUCUUGAAAUCAAAAGCAAAACAAAACUAACUUCUAACAUACUAACUACUAACUUUUAACUUCAAGUCUUUACUUUAAUGCAAUUUACUUUUAGCACUUUAUUUCAUUUGCCAUUGUACAUAUCAUUCUAAUUGUUUAUGUUAUGUAAUUUUCACUUUGUCCAUUUGGACCAUAUUGUGUGAUAUAUUUUGUUUGUGUUACUUUGUGUGUUUGUGUGGUCUUUGACCAUUAAUGGACAUAAUAAUAACAAAAACCCUAAAAAACUUUUGAGUGGACUGUUGGCUUGAUCUUAGACAAAUGGACUUAGAAUCUAGGCGACCUUCCUAUGCAAAUGGACUUGGCCAAUGCCAACUUUUUGAAGAAUCAAGUUCUUGCAAUUUGAAAUUCAUCUGAUACAUCUUUGAAGAUCUCUCUAAGAUUCAUCUGCAACAUGAUCAUUGUGAAGCUGUUAUUUUGAACCUGUGACUUGUGGGAUUCAUCUGUUACAUGGGCUAUUUUGAAGAAGAUCAUGAAGGGGAUAAGCUUGGAUGAGGCCAUCUUUAUUUGAUGUCUUUCUCUUCAAGAUAAUAUAAUUGUGCAUUUGUUUGUUGCUUAAUUCUAAAAGUCCAAGGGAAUUCUGGGUUUCUAUUGACAUACUUGUCUAUUGGAUUGCUACCCAUUUGGCAGAUCUUUUCAACUCUAAACUUUUAAUUUUUGUGCAUAGGAUAGUCUCUUCAUCUUCUCCCCAUUUCUUUAAUUUUAAAAUCUCUCCCUCUAUUUUUUAAAAUCUUUUUUGUGUGAACUACUUUUGUUCUAAACUUUGACCACUUUUACAAAAAGAUAGAAACUUUGGCCUUAUGUCAUUGCAUUUUCAAACUUCUUUUCUUAAAUCAAACUUGUAAAUAAACUUAAGCAUGCUCGACUUAAACUUUCAAAAAGCCAAAAAAGAACUAACUCAUUCAAAUCAUUUUAGGCCUUUGUGCCUUUCAAACCUAAUUUUGUUAAAAUCAACACACUCAUUUUGAAAUUUAUAGCACGAACUACGAGGUUUUGAUCCCUCAUUUUUAUGUUGGUACGUAGGCACAAGACCGAAGGUCUUGUCAAACACAAAAAUAUAAUUAAAAUUUUGUUAAAAUCAACACACUCAUUUUGAAAUUUAUAGCACGAACUACGAGGUUUUGAUCCCUCAUUUUUAUGUUGGUACGUAGGCACAAGACCGAAGGUCUUGUCAAACACAAAAAUAUAAUUAUCGAAUUCUUUUUUCUCAUCCCCCAUUCUAUUUGUUUGUAAACAUCACGUUGUACAAAAUACAUAUGCACACCAAAAUGGCUCCCUAGGAGUACCUAGGACACUUUGGGUGCUAACACCUUCCCUCUGUCUAACCAAACCCCUUACCUGUGAUCUCUGACUUUUAUUAGUUUUUAUUUGAAAACUUCUUACUUAUUGGGUUUUGUUCGUACUUUUUUCCUUUUCCCUUGGAAACAAUAAAAUCGCAGUGACGACUCUUGUUAAUUGAUCUCUAGCUUGUCAAUAGCUUGAUGAUCAUGAAUUUCCCGCUACAAUUAGUAUAUCCGCGUUCCUUAGAAAUGAAUAAAGAAUAGUGACGACUCUGUAAUUUUUUCAACCGCGACAGCUAUCAUCGAUUCUUACUCCAUUUCUAGUUUCAAAACAGAACAUUAUACUUCCCUCCUUCCAUAAAUUUCUUGUGUCAUUACAAAUGCAAUAAAUCCUUAAACCUUUCCCUAAAAUAUAGUAUGCAUUGUCUUUUUCAAAAACAGCCAAUUACAUUAAUGUUUAAUUUAGUUAUUUUUUAUUUGUGGCCAUUUGACUUCAAAAAGAGAAUUUGUUAUGUUGGCCAAAUUUUAAAUUCGAUAAUGACAUGGUAUAAUUUAAUAAAAAUAGCAUUAAAUCUAUUAUAAUUUUUUAAUGAGUCAGAUCUAUUAAUACUAGAGAUAAAUUUAAAAGUCUUACACCAAAUCUUAACAUUUAAUAUGAAUAAAUAAGUAGCAUAUUAUUUAAGAAUUUUUUAUUUUAUUUUUUUAUAUCAUAUAUUUAAUAUGACCGUCUAAUUCAAUCAACCAUUAAUAUUUAAUAUAAGUUUGUUAGACUUAUAAAUGGUGUCAACGAAUUCAAACUCUUUUUUAUGAUUUUUUUUAAAAUAACCUAUUUUUUCAAUUAAAAUGCUAAAAUAACCAUUUUUCCAAAAUAUUUACCAAAAUAACCAUCUUUCAUGAAGCAUGCGCCAGUUAGACUGGCGCAUCUAUUUUGUCAUUGAGCAUAGGCGCCCAUACCAUUGACGCAUGCGUGCAAUGAAGCCAAUGUAAUUGGCGCAUACUUACUAUAUAUCAUGUGUAUGCAUCAUUGCAUGUGACACAUACUGUAUCUAAUGUUUUUUAAUUUUAAAAUUUAUACUUAUAAAUAAAUAAAAUAAAUAGGUAAAUGAAAAAUAAUUAUUAAUAUUAUAAUAUAAAGCUAAAAUACAUAACAAUUGACAAAAAAAUCAAUGAGCCGCCCGAUUGAAACGCCCCGCUGUUCCACAUCCCUGUGCGUUAGCCUGCCUACGAGGUCUCCCACGAUUUCCCUACGGUGUUUGGCGUCUUUGAGUGCUGACAUGAUGCAAUGUUGGUUGGUGUGAAGGUCCGGUGGAAGGUCCAACGGUAUUUGACAGAUUUGUCAUAAUUUCUCCCUAAUAGCUGGGGGGUCGCCAACGGCACUGCUGUAAUUGAGUUUGGUGCCCAUGUUGUCGGAGUUGAUCCUUUUGGUUGGGUGGUUUAUGAACGGUAUGGUUUCCCGAAUUGGGACAUUGAAUCGUUUUGGAAACGAAGCAAUGGUUCUGGUGGUGUAUUAAAGUCAGACAAUGGUUAGGUGUUAUGGUGAUGGGAUGUUUGAGUGUUCAUAAAUUGGGGGCUAUGAUGGCAUGAGGUUGAAUCGUAUGAAUCAUCCGGGCUAUAGAUAGAUGUGAUGGUUGUGUAUAGUUGUUGGUGGUUAGGGUUUGGUUCCUAUUUUCGAGUUUGGGUGUGUGGCAUGAAUUGGUUGUGUGGUUGGGUAUAUAUGGUAGGGUGAUGGUGUCAGGUUGGUCGUUGGGUUUAUGUGGGUUGACAUUGUUCUUGGGCUGGGAUUUAUUGUUAGGUGUUUGAGGAUGAAGCUCGUUGGCGUGGAUCAAUCAAAUACCUUGGCUCAGACACAAAUUGUGGCAUUGUAACCGACCUACACCAUGUCAUAUAAUGUUGAUUUGGUCUAGCACCACAUGUCAUCCAAUGACGAUACACCUCUUUUUCAAAGUCUCUCCAAUCGGAAUAACCCCAUUGGUCAUCGACUUUUUGUUGAUGCCAAUCUCCCAAAUACGUCGGAGGUUCUGGAAUUUGUUAUUGCAUGACGAACUGUAGUUUUACAUGGUCACUCUAGUGCAUCUCCGCAGUAGUGAACUAGAUGAUUGGUGUUUUUGUUGUCCAAGCUACAACAUCAUCAUGGUUAACUUGAUGAUCAAGACCCAAAUACAGCCUCCAGAUAAACUGUAUAAGAAUUUGAUAGAUUAAAGGAUAUUGUAGAGGGGUUUUCGUUACUUUUAGGUUUAUUGACUAAACCAAAAGUCAACAUACAAUUCGAGUCGCCACCGCGCUUUUACUUAUCCAAAGGAAAGGCUAAAAAGCGAACAAAUGCCAAGUAAGAAGUUUUUCAAAUAAAAAACUAAUAAAAAUGUCAGAGAUCUAGGUAAGGGGGUUGGUUAUGAAAUGGGAAGGUUUUACGCACCUAAAACAUCCUUAGUACUCUAAGGGAACCCUUUUAAGUUUUUCAAAUAAAAAACUAAUAAAAAUGUCAGAGAUCUAGGUAAGGGGGUUGGUUAUGAAAUGGGAAGGUUUUACGCACCUAAAACAUCCUUAGUACUCUAAGGGAACCCUUUUUGCAAAUAUGUAUUGUAGGUUGGUAUUUGUGAAAAUAUUUGUACAAAAGAUUGGAAGGAUGAGAAGAGAGUAGGUUAUAUUUACAAAUUUUGUUGUUUGAAUGGAUGAACCUAUUGCAUAUGUACCAUCACAAAGGAGGAUCAAAACCUCGUAGUUCGUGGUAGAAAUCUCAAAGAUUGGGGAAUUGAUUUUUAUCAAAAGCCUUAAGGUCUUUUGUUAUCAAAAGGAGAAAACUCAACCUAAACCAACAAUCCACCAUGUGAGGAAGGCUUCAACAUGCUAGUGAGGGGUUAACCAUAUAAUAAGCAUGGAAGACUUAUAAUCUAACACUAAGGAUGAGGUGAGAUUUACAUCAACCACUAUGAUAACUCAAACCAAUGACUAAUGUUUUUGAAAAGAGUUCAACAAGUGGUCAUUGGAACCACAAAACAACUUGAAAUGGGUUAUAUUUACAAGUUAAAUUUAUUUACAAAAUGAGGUCAAAGUUGGAUUAAAGUUUAUUUAAAUGACUAAUGUUUUUGAAAAGAGUUCAACAAGUGGUCAUUGGAACCACAAAACAACUUGAAAUGGGUUAUAUUUACAAGUUAAAUUUAUUUACAAAAUGAGGUCAAAGUUGGAUUAAAGUUUAUUUACAAUGAGUGUUUAUGAAAAUGGUUUUGAAAAGUCAAAGGCCUAAGGCCUAGGUUUCUAAUUUGAAAUAAAGUCAAAUUUUUGAAAAUUAUUUUUGGCUUGGUUAGAGGGGGGAGAAGAGAGAAUGGAUAUUCCUAAAGCAUACAAAGAUAAGAGGGGAAAGAUAACCCUUGGAGUUCCUUUUCUUAGAGUCAUAGAGAUGACUCAAGAUGCUCAUUUCCUUUGGAUUUAGCACACAAAACAAGCACUUAAUAAUUUGAAUUCAAGCUCCUAGGAUCUCCACUUGGCUUGGCUCUUAACUUGGCUACUCAUGACAAUGGUCCUCUUUUCACAAUCUUAAGAUGAGGUUCCUAUCACACAAAACGUGUGUAGUUUUUCGAGUGUUGUAUUAUUUCCCUUACCUGUUUCUUUAAGUUUGUGGAGAAGUCCUUUUGAGGUCAACUUUGAAUUUUAGCAUUCUAAAGGCAUGAGGCCUAAUUGCUCUUCAACAUAUUUUACAUUCUAAAGGCAUGAGGCCUAGUUGCUCUUGAACUCCUUUAAGCAUGGGUUAGUCCUAAUUCUAUGUCCUUUCUCCUUUUGCAUUUUGGUUCACAUCAAAACAAACACAAAAUAACACAAAAUAGCAAUAUAUCUAUAUACAAUAAUGGGCUCAAAUGAGCAAAAUAAAAAUGACAUAAACAUAAAAUAUGUGCUCAAGUGAGCAAACUGAAAAUCAAGAUGAAUAAUGAGCAAUAAAUAAAUGACAUUAAAAGUAAAUGACAAGAGUUUAAAAGCUCAAAUUAAACUUAGUGGUUAGUAGAGUUAUGUUAGCUUGUCAUAAGACAAUGUAGCGCUAUGUUAAGCAAUCGUAAGUGGACUAAUAUAGUAGCCACACCUAUCUGAGGCCGGUCAAUAAGAAUAUAGGCAAAGAACACAAGUUAGAGGUCAUGACUAGUAAGCCAAGCUCCAUAAACUUGCCAUGCCAAACAAAAUGGGGAAGGGCUUUGUAUUGACUUUUGGUUAUUUGCUUGACCAAGAAGUAACCUAUCUUUGACACAAAAUAACUGACUUGAUCAUUGAUCAAGUUGAGUUUGGUUUGGAUCAAAGAAGAUUAAACAUCUAUUUGUCAAGACCAACCUCAAGACUUUAACUCAUUGGCCAUUAAGGGAAAGAAAGGGAUGAAGAUGAAAAGGAGGGGUAAGAAGACAACAACUAAUCCCAAUUGAACAAGGGAUAACUCAUCCUUGAUCAAAUUCAUUCAUCUCUCUAGGUGAUGAUCCUUAAGGACUCUCAAACCACAAGAUCCAAUGAAUUUGAUCAAAGUUGAAUCAAUUCAACCUUGAUCAACACCAAACAGAAGAAGAAUGAAUAUAACAAGUCCAGAAGUCAAUAAUAUUUUUUUGGUAUUUUUUGAAUUAAAAGAAAAUACAGAUAAAAAAUAAACAAACAAAGUUGAACCUCAAACUCAAUUCAAAGCAACUUCAAAAAGUCCAAUUAAAUUUUCAUAGGUUCAACAUAGUCAAACAAACUUUGACUAAUUUUCUCACAAAUUUUUAAAGUUAGAAAGUAAUUAAAAUCAAUUAAAAACAACCAAUAAAUAGCAUAAUAUGAAUUAAAAUAUCAAAUAAUCUCAAAACAAACAAGAAAUUGUUAAGACUAUUUUUCAUUGACUUAUCAAGAUCCAUAAAUGCUAUGAAAAUAUUUUUGUACUUUUUAAAAAUCAAAAAGCAUUUAAAAUGAAUUAAAAUCAUUAAAAACCAAAUACUUCAUGAAAAAUAUCAAAUGAGGUCACAAAAAUAGUUAAAAAUCAUAAUAUGAAACUAGAUUUUUCAAGAAAAAGUUUAGAGUUGGUCUCAUAUUUUUCUGACCUCAUAUGAACUUUUAAUGAAUUUUUGAAAAUAAGAAUGAAUUAAAAGAAAAUAAAGAGAAAAUGAAAUAAAACGAAAAAUGCUGAGCCACUAGAUCCAAUUCAUUAAUUGACGUGGCACACUGCACGACUUGGAUCUGAUGAUGCACGGUGGGCUCAAGUCAACAGCGCAACAUAAUGCAUUAAAACAAGUAAUUAAAACGGACGCAUGAGACUAGAUCGUGAGGGAGAGAUCCAAGGGCCAUGAGCAGCACACAUGGUGUUGGCGGUGGAAACCACCAUCUUCUCCGGUCAGCCAACAGAUUCCGGCCAGAUUUGCAGGAAAAUGAAUCUUAUCAAAAACGAAAAACAAGGACAUGGAAAUGAAGCUCAUGUGAUGUAGAUCAUCAUUGUACCAUUAGAUUCCUCUCAUUCUUCCUAUAUUGAGAGAAAGAUGAAGGAGAAAAUCAUGAUGGCCACACGAAUUGUUCAUGAAAUGGCAAAUUAAAUGCACUAAAAGCUUGCCUCAAGUAUGAGGACUUCAGAGAACCACAAAAACAAAAGAAUACUACAUUGAAUUAUGAGUUUCAGAUCCAAACAGUUUGAGUUUGUACCUUCAAAAUGGUGAGCUUCUGGCCACGAAUUCUUCAAGCUUUUUGCUCCUCUUUGAUCUCUGGAUGUAGGGAAGAUGAUUGGCUAAGGAAUAUAACUUUGAAACUCAACUAAUGUUGCUGAAUUUCAAGCUCAAAAAUAUUGAAGAAUAAUGAAUGAUUCCUUUGGUGAGGGUUAUGGUUUCAGUUCUGCAGAAUGUGGGAUGUCCAAAAGGUUUACAAAUGAAGGAGAGGAAACCCUUAUUUAUAGGUGAAUGCAUCUAAAUUCACACUUUGCUCAUGUGCAUGGGAUUUGAACUUUUGAAUGCAUGGGCCUUUGUGGACGUGUUAGAGGCCCGUGAAUGGCUGAAGGAGCUUUCUGAGAUCAUAUGGAAGGCAUGUGGUCGUGCACAUGGAAUGGGAAAUGCUUGCAUAUCAAGUUUUAACAUAAAAUACCAAGAAUGCACAUAAAUGAAAAGAAAUUAGAAUCUCCCAAAUGGUAUAUCCAAAUGACCAUUGUCAGUAAUGGUUGGAAAGCUUUUGAAAUAAGGAACUAAAGUCAUGUUGGGUAAAAAACCAUUUGACAUGUGCAAAUUAAUCAAAACUGGGUUGGAAAGUUCAAGUGUAAAACAUGUUCAAAUCAUUUUGAAAAAGUCACCCAAAAGUAAGCUUGGUUAAACCCCUCUUUCCUCAUAAUACAAGCUUCAAAUGAGAAAAUCUCGAACUUCAAAAUUGUAUAUCUUUUCAAGGUAGUCAAUUUAGACUCAAAUUUUGAAUCAUUUGGAUUUUCUAUGACAAUGUUAUGGGCAUUUGAAGUUGGGUACUUUUUCAAAUUCAAUGAAUUAGGUCCAAGAUGACCUAUAAUGUUUUGCAAUAUCACAUGUAUUUCCUUUAAGAUUGUGAAAUUUUGUCCAACAUAAAAUUUGAAUUAGACAUCUCUAGAUUUCCAAUUCCUUUGGUCCCACCUCAAAAUCAUAAAUAUUGAGAAAGUUAUGCACUUGGCAAGUUGACCCAAAAUUAGGGUUUCAGUCAAAAUGGCCUAUAAUGUUUUGAAACGAAUGUUGACCUUACAAGCUUCAAAUAGAUUUUUUAUGAACAUGAAAGUUGUUCAUAUGGUCCUUAUGAACAUAGUUUCUUUUGGGGUAAUCUUCAUUUGACAAACACAUCCAAAAUUAUAGCUCAUUGAACCUCAACUUAGUCAGAUGACCUGACUGGUCAACUUCUCAAGGUCAAACUUCCAAUCUUGAUGAAUAAAUGAUUGAGGGGCCUCAAGUAGGCUCAUAUAUGCAUAAAAUGAUAAAUUAAAGAACUUCCCUUAAUUAAAUUUAAUCAUAAGUUGAGAUUGCUUCAUGGGCAAGGCACAGUCAAAGCAUAGUGAAAUUAGGGUUUCCUUGGGAAACAAUCUUCAAGCCCUUUGGGUUAUCCCGAUCAAAUUGGAAAAUCAAGAUACUUUGGAGAUAUAUAUGAUGAUUAGGAACUUUGUGGACCAUUGUCAUGCUUUGUUCUCAUCUUCAUCUAGCCAUUUCAUUAGGCUUAGGAGCCUCCUAGGAGCAUUGUGGAGCACAUGACCACUUAAGCUUAAAAAAAAGAGUUAGUGACAUAUUUUUGUGCUUUUGGUUAGUAAUCAAAUAAGAAAAGCAAUAACAUACAAUACAAGCAUGCUUGGUGAUCUCAAAUCACUCAAACAAAUCCCAACCCUUGGGUUAAGGAGCCAAACAUGCUAUGAUCCUUGAGGCAAUGCACUUGUGCAAUAACAUGAUGCCAUGAGGGAUCUUAGGGUCAAAAUUAGGGUCUUACAGGUGCCCCUAUUUAAGGUCAUUCUAGCCGGAGAUAUGAAGGUUAACAUCUUCGUCUCGACGAGAUAGAAUGAGCUUAGAUAAUAGCAAAAAGACGAAUUUUGGUCCCUAAGAGACCUCAUGAUGCAAAUGUAUUCGUGCAAAAUAAAAUCUUCAUGGUGAAUAAUUGCCACAAAGGAAAAGAAAUCGGGAGGAACUGAAGAUCCAUAGGAGUAACACACUCACUAGGGAGACAGAGACUCUGGGAGAAAUAAGGUAGAAAUUCGUGAGCAGGUCACGACUUGAAAACUUGCUAGGAGACACGAAGGGAUUCCACGAAAAUAAAUUGAUGGAAAGACUCGAGCUGACGCAAAGAUGCAUGUGUUGGGGAAUAUAAUAGGUGACCAACCAGGCGUGAAUUGGGAACAUAUCCAAGUCACUCAUCAUCCAAAAGGAGGGCUAAAAAAGCAAACUCGAUUUACAUGAUGGACAUUCGAUUCUACAAGGAAAUACGAAUCUUACUCGACUGGGGAAGAAAAAGACUUCGAAUGAAGAGCGCAUGAGAUAUAUUACCUACUAUUGUUAAUUGGGUAAAAACGUAGAUAACAUACUCGCAUGGAAGAUUAUCAGCAAUCGGUUACUGGGUUAAUAAAGGAUAAAUCGACCGAAAAGGAAGGACAUCGGGAUACCGGUUACUGGUUAUAAAAUGAUGAUCAAUCAGAAGGAGAAACAAUCAUUACCAAACAAGGGUAAAUGAAAGAUGACUCGCUAGGGACAAAUUGCCUGACAACAGCAAUUAUCCAAGAGAUAUAUCACCGGUUACUGGUUGAUAUACUCAAAAACAAAGGAAUAUCAAUACCGAUCACUGGGUAAAGAUAACCAACAAAGAGGGGAUUACAUCUACCGGUUACUGGAUAGAAAACCACAGAAAUAGGAAUGACAACUACCGGUUACUGGUAGAAGGCCAUAAAAUCCGCUGGGGAGAGGAUGAACAAUUACUGGUUACUGAGCAAUUGAACAACUAAACCACAGGGAACUGCAAGGGAUAACAAGAAAGGAAAUCAAUCUAGGAAUGAACUAGAAAGACACAAUCAAACAAUACUCAACCCGACGAGGAUGUAACUCAGGGGAGUAAUUCCAUCCUGAUACACAACUGGGGAGGAAACUGAAAUAAUAAUCAUCCAUGAGGAUAUAACUCAGUGGGGAUGAAAGAAGGAAAGAUAAACACUUUCUGCCUAUGGGGCUGACUCUAUGUGGAGAGAUCAGGUACAAACAUCUGCUUGGGGAAGAACAUUUCACCAAUAGCAGGCGAUAACAAGCAAAGAUAUAUGGCAAAGAGUGCAUCAUGAAUAUCUGAAUGUUAUGAUUAUGCAUGUAUAUGCAUGAUUUGUCUAUAAUUAAUGCUGACAAACAGACAUAUCUAACACAAACAAGUCCAAGAAUCACGAACAGACACUCGGAAAACGUCUCAACAAGAAGGGAGAAGCCUACUGGAGAACUCAGCUUAGGAAUAACCCGAGAAGGAUGAAAAUAAAUCAUCGGGGAUGUCAAACCCUAUCCCAAAGCUACACUCGUUGAGGAUACAAAGAAGAUGUAUUCAGGAGCAGUGAAAGAAGAGAAUCAAAUAGAGAACUCAACUCUGAUGGGGGAUCAUCUCUGGAAUAAGAGUAAACAAGGGAAGACUUUAACCAUAGCUGGGGAUAGGCAAAGUCAAAGCUUCCAACUGCAGGAGAUAACACUCUGCACAGGAAAAGUCUUCCAGGAGCACACAAUCCUGACAUAAGGAAGAUGCAGAAAAUCUGUCGGGGAGUUUCCAUCAACUCUCUCGGGGAUAUGUGGUUUAAUAACAAUAAGAUCCGUCGGAGAAGAAGCUCUACUGGGGAAGCUUAUUAAGGAACGAUGUGAAACUCCAUGGGGAACAACCACCAAUCAGGUGUACAUCAAUCAAAACACUCCCUUUUAUCUGUCGGAGAGGAAACUCUGCAAAAGGGGAAUAAUAACAUUUUGCUCCACUAGGGAAGGAAAUAAAAAUUUUCACCACCAGCUCUUAAUGCUAAAAGAAAUCUUCAGACUCGGAGGAGAUACAAACAUCAAAUUCUGAUCUGGAAACCCUACUGGGGGAUAAGCUGUAAAUGCUCUUGAGGAAACUACGCUUGCUGGAGAAAUCGGAAAUGAAACCUUCAUCAACAAGCGACAUACCGGGGAUACCUCUUUUCAAAAUAAAUGAAAUGGGAAAUAAGCCCUUCAUCAAUUGGACUAGGCAACUUCCUGUUGAGGAGACAAAUAUCUGGAAAGAUAGCUCUGCAUGGAACACAUGCUUACUCCGUAGGAGAUUCUUACUCAUGUCGGGGAAAGACAACCUUCCUCGUGAGUAGAUAGCCAGGACAGUGAGGCAAGGAAUAUUCUCAACUUAAAGCAUAUCAACUUUUAUCAAUCUAUAAGGGAUUUUAGGUCAGUCCACACAAGGGAUGACAACCAUACAAAUGAUAAAACACAAAUACUAGUGCCUGAUAUAGAGGGAUACACACCUCUAAAAUAUCGAGGCAAAAAUUGGAAAAGAAGGGAUCAUUCAUAGAUCAAACAUAUACCAAUCGUGGAUUGCUAAAACUCCACGGGAGAAACAGGUAUGUAUACACAAACAAACUACCGGGAAUGCUUUGGAAAAAUCCAGCUAGGGGAAAGCAAUCCAUAAGACAGAUCAAUCCACUGCCAUCAAGGAGAACUUCCCAUACCCAACUCUCUGGGAAGCUGCUGAUGUAUUAUUCUUGAUGUGCUCGGUUGAGGAGACAACUUGAAAGCUGAUGAAGAGGAUAUAAGGAGCAAUAAUGCUACAAUAUGAACAAAUUUCUUACCCUUUGGUGAUCAUACGAUUCUUGGGAAAGCACUGAGGACAUUCCACUUAUCUUUUUCCGUCAUUGUGAAUGUUCACUUUGUUUAAAAACGGUUUAUUCAUGAAAACUUUAUUUGUUUAAAACACUGAUAUUCAUCAAAUGAAACAUGCAAACAUUUGUUAAAUAGAAACAAAUAAGAGUGCAAAGAAUUGGAUAAAGGCUCAAAUUUAUUUAAGAGAAUGGUAGUCCACAAAUGGCUACACUCCAUGGAUCUUCACAAAUUUGAAAUUGGUGAUAUACAUGGAAAAGGGCUACAUUGAACAUAAUGACCGUUUCUCCACCAACUUUGAAUCUAUUGUAUCCGAAACUUUAGUUGAUGAUGACUGAGCGAGAAUUUUUGACAGAUGAAAGUUGUAGAACAAAGUCUUGCCUAGAUUGCCCCAGGGCGAGGUGCUCAAUCUUGCGUGAUAUACAUUCAUUUUUUAUGUCUCUAACUUUUUCCUGGAUCGCCCUUUCGGGUUUUCAAUCCACCAAGAUGCUCAUUUUUGCCUAAGCCGCCCUUUCGGGUUUUCAACUUAGCGAGCUAUUCUGUUUUUAUUUUUAGGCGAAGUAUUUCUCGACUGCAUCUGAACUCACAGGACGAGUGAAAUCCUCCCCAUCCAUAGUUGUGAGCAACAGAGCACCGCCUGAAAAGGCUCUCUUAACAACGUAUGGACCUUCAUAGUUUGGAGUCCACUUGCCCCUGGAAUCGGGCACGAAAGAUAAGAAUUUCUUGAGCAUGAGGUCGCCUUCUCGGAACACACGAGGCUUGACCUUCUUAUGAAAGGCUUUCUUCAUCCUUUGUUGAUAUAACUGACCAUGGCACAUGGCAGUUAAUCUCUUCUCUUCAAUCAAAUUUAGUUGGUCAUAACGACUCUGAACCCAUUCAGCUUCAGUCAACUUGGCUUCCAUCAAGACUCUCAUUGAUGGGAUCUUGACCUCUACGGGGAGUACAACCUCCAUACCAUAUACAAGGGAGAAAGGGGUUGCCCCUGUUGAAGUGCGGACGGAUGUACGAUAGCCAUGCAAAGCAAAUGGCAGCAUCUCAUGCUAAUCUUUGUACGUAACAACCAUCUUCUGAAUUAUCUUCUUGAUGUUCUUGUUAGCAGCUUCAAUAGCCUCAUUCAUCUUGGUUCUAUAGGGAGAAGAAUUCUGCUGUGCAAUCUUGAACUUGCUACAUAGCUCUUUCAUCAUCUUAUUAUUCAUAUUAGAUCCAUUAUCAGUAAUGAUCUUGUCUAGCACACCAUAUCGGCAUAUGAGUUGGUUCUUGAUAAAUCUCACAACCACCUGCCUGAUCACAUUUGCAUACGAUGUCGCUUCAACCCACUUGGUGAAGUAAUCAAUAGCUACGAGAAUAAAACGGUGACCGUUCGACGCCUUAGGAUCAACCAUGCCAAUCAUGACAAUUCCCCACAUGGAGAAAGGCCAUGGUGAGAAAAUAACAUUCAGAAGUGUCGGGGGAAUAUGAAUCUUGUCCGCAUAAAUCUGACACCUGUGGCAUUUCUUUACGUAUUUGCAGCAAUCAGACUCCAAUGUCAGCCAAUAGUAGCCUACUCUCAACAAAUUUUUUUCCAUGGCAUGUCCAUUGGAAUGAAUACCAAAUGAACCCUCAUGGACUUCAUUCAUCAACAAGUCUGCUUCAUGUCUAUCCACGCAUCUAAGCAGAACCAUGUCAACAUUUCUCUUGUAAAGCACAUCACCAUUAAGGUAGAAACUGCCAGAUAAUCUCCUCAAAGUCUUCUUAUCUUUAACAGAUGCCCCAGGUGAGUAAGUCUGACUUUGGAGAAAGCACUUGAUAUCAUAAUACCAUGGCUUAUCAUAUUUUACUUCCUCAAUUGCAAACACGUGAGCUGGUCUAUCCAAGCGGUAUCACAGUAAUCUUUGGGACUUCAUUCCAAUAAUUGACAUUAAUCAUUGAAGAAAGCGUAACGAGAGCAUCCGCCAUCUGAUUCUCAUCUCGAGGAAUAUGAUGGAAGUCAACUUUAGUAAAGAAAGUUGAAAUCCUCCUUGCAUAAUCUCUAUAUGGAAUGAGGCCAGGCUGAUUCAUCUCCCAUUCACCCUUAAUCUGAUUAACAACAAGGGCCGAAUCACCAUAAACAUCAAGAUGUUUGAUCCUAAGAUCAAUACAUUCUUCCAAACCCAUAAUACAGGCCGCAUACUCCGCCAUAUUAUUCGUGCAUUUGAAAGUUAGCUUGCUGUAAAAGGAAAAUGUGUGCCUUGAGGAAUAAUAAUAAUUGCCCCAAUACCAUUUCUGUACUGAUUGACAGCGCCAUCGAAUACCAUGCCCCAUCGGGAACCAGGCUCUGGCCCUUCCUCCAGCAAUGGUUCAUCACAAUCUUUCAUUUUCAAAUACAGAAUCUCCUUAUCAGGGAAGUCAUAUUGCACAGACUGAUAAUCUCCAAUUGGUUGAUGCGCCAAAUGGUCAGCCAAGAUACUACCUUUAAUAGCUUUUUGAGCUCGAUACUCAAUAUCAUACUCGGAUAACAGCAUUUCCCAACGGGAAAUUCUCCCAUUUACGCAGGCUUCUCAAAGAUAUACUUGAUCGGAUCCAUUUUGGAUAUCAACCAAGUCGUAUGAUUCAACAUAUACUGGUGUAAACGCUUAGCAGCCCAAGCCAAAGCACAACAUGUCUUCUCAAGCAUUGAGUACCGAGACUCACAGUAGGUGAACUUCUUACUCAAGUAGUAUAUGGCAUAUUCUUUCUUUCCUGAUUCAUCUUGCUGACCAAGGACACAACCCAUGGGAUCAUCAAGCACAAUCAAGUACAUAAUCAAUGGUCUCCCUUCAACAGGCGGAGACAGAAUCGGAGGCUCGGACAGAUACUCUUUGAUACUGUCAAAGGCCUUUUCGCAAUCCUUGGUCCAAUCAUGAUGUUGAUCUUUCUGGAGGAGCUUGAAUAUGGGCGCACAUGUGGUAGCCAUGUGGGAUAUAAAUCUCGAAAUGUAAUUCAAGCGACCAAGAAAACCUCGGACUUGCUUCUCAGUUUUGGACGCAGGCAUCUCUUGUAUUGCUUUGACCUUGGCAGGAUCAACUUCAAUACCUCUCUCGAUGACAAUAAAGCCCAAUAACUUGCCGGAACGAACUCCAAAUGUACACUUGUUCGGAUUCAAGAGGAGCUUGUAUUUCCUCAAACGCUGAAAAGCUUCAACAAGUCUUCUACAUCUUCAACUUCCGUUUUCGUUUUUGCAAUCAUAUCGUUGACAUACCCCUCGAUAUACUUGUGCAUCAUGUCAUGAAAUAUAGUAGUCAUAGCACUUUGAUACAUGGCUCCGGCGUUCUUCAAACCGAAGGGCAUCACUCGAUAACAGAAUGUUCCCCAAGGUGUGAUGAAUAUUGUCUUCUCCAUAUCCUCAAGUUCCAUUUUAAUCUGAUUAUAACCGGAAAAUCCGUCCAUAAAUGAAAAGACAUUGAAUUUAGCCGUAUUGUCUAUCAACAUAUCAAUGUGUGGUAGAGGAAAAUCAUCUUUUGGGCUAGCUUUAUUCAAGUCACGGUAAUCCACACACAUUCGGACUUUUUCGUCUUUUUUAGGUACAGGCACAGUAUUGGCCACCCAUUGAGAAUAUGUAGAAGUCACUAGAAACCCCGCAUCAAUUUACUUCUGAACUUCUUCUUUAAUCUUCACUGCCAUAUCAGGAUGAGUUCUUCUAAGCUUUUACUUCACAGGCACACAUUCAGGCUUCAACAGCAAGGAAUGUUGCACGAUAUCAGUAUCUAGACCAGGCAUGUCUUCAUACGACCAGGAAAAGACAUCGACAUAUUCCCAUAGCAACCCAAUCAACCCCUUUUUAACAGACUCUUCAAGGAGUGCCCCAAUCUUCACUUCACGAAUGCAGUCUUCAGACCCCAAGUUGACUAUUUCCAGAUUCUCAAGAUGUGGCUGAAUGAUCUUCUCUUCGUACUUAAGCAGACGGGCAAUCUCAUCAGGAAUCUCUUCAACAUCAUCUUCUUCUGCCUCAAAUACAGGGAACUCAAAGUUGGGAGAUGGUGUUGGAUCAUUAUGUUCAAUGGGUUUGGUCAACCUGCAUAAUGAUUUUGAGUAUAAUCAUCUUCUUCUGCCUCAAAUACAGGGAACUCAAAGUUGGGAGAUGGUGUUGGAUCAUUAUGUUCAAUGGGUUUGGUCAACCUGCAUAAUGAUUUUGAGUAUAAAAGAGAUUUCAGAAUUCAAACACGGCAAAUCAUUAUGCAGAGGAAAAGAUUGAUUUUAUUCUCUCUUUUUUAGGGUUUUAUGGUGAUCACCAAUUUCAUGCGAAAAGCAAAGAUGAAAAAUAAUUUGAGAAAACAAACAUUUAACAUGCGAUUAUUGAAUGAAUAUCAUUGUAUUAACAAAUUAUCCAACAAUGUCUUCAUCUUCUUCCAUGAUGGCAGCAGCUUCUUGAUCUCCAUCAGUGUGGAUGAAACCUCCAUUCUGAAAUAACCCAAGAUCAUUAGAAACACCGGAAGAAUACCCUAUACCAGCCCGGGAUUUAUUAUCUUCCAUCUUUAUCAUUUUCCCCAAUCCAAUAGUUGCACCACGCUCGAUGACCAACUUCGCAUCAUUGUAGGAGACAAAUGAAGAAAGUCCUUUCUUAGAAGGUUCAGCAAUAGAUAAGGCUUGGAAUGGAGUUCCAACCUCAUCCUCAGCAUCGAUGUAGAAAAGGAAGAUAAAUGGCUGACCAAGAGAGCCUUCUCUCCCCCUAUCACCACCAACUUCUUGUUCUUGACGAACUUCAACUUUUGGUGCAGGGUGGAUGUCACGGCACCUGCCUCGUGAACUUUUGGUGCAGGGUGAACUUCAACUUGGAAAGUGAUCUGAAAAUCACUAGGUCCAAUCUUGAUCGGGAGGUCUAAUUCACCAAUCACGGUCUUGCACGAUCCAUCAAAAGCUUUUACUACCACUCCACUCUGCCUCAUGGGAGGCCCCUGAUAUGAAAGUUUGGCGAGAGUGGACUUUGGCAAUACAUUAAGUGAUGACCCUGUGUCCACCAACACAUUGGACAAAAAGCUUUUACUACCACUCCACUCUGCCUCAUGGGAGGCCCCUGAUAUGAAAGUUUGGCGAGAGUGGACUUUGGCAAUACAUUAAGUGAUGACCCUGUGUCCACCAACACAUUGGACAGGGCAUCGUCCUUACAGUUCAUAGAGAUAUGUAACGCCAAAUUGUGGUAUUUUCCCUCCUCGGGAAGAUCAUCAUUGCAGAAGCUCAAAGUGUUGCAGGCAGUUAUAUUUGCAACAAUGCUAUCAAACUGUUCAAUUGUGACAUCAUGAUCCACAUAUGCCUUGUCCAGCACCUUUUGCAACGCUUCACGGUGUGACUCUGAAUUCAUCAACAAAGAUAGGACAUAUAUCUUUGAUGGAGUUUGAAGCAACUGCUCCACAACGUUGUACUCGCUCCUCUUGAUGAGCCUCAGCAUCUCAUCACCAUCCUCCCUCAAUAUGCCAGACUGGCCAACUAGGAUAGGAGCUUUAUCAGUUUUGACAACAACAGGGUCAACACCCUUCACAGUAGGAACAAAAUGAUUUGUCGAAGAAGUCCCCACGGGACCGGUAUAACUAACAAAAUCCCUCUUCACGAUAUUUUCGUGGGAUUUCGGCUGAGCCGAGAAAACACGACCACUACGGGUCACUCCACUAACAUCGGAUAUGCUUACAAUAGAGGUUGAGGGCAACGACACCUCCUUCCCAUCUUCAAGCAUAACAACAUUGUAACGGUACGUAACCGCUUUAUCUGACACAUACGGGACAGGGCCCGCUGGCUUUAUCACAAGAGUUAGCACCACCUUCCUUUUGCUGCCAUCAUACUUAAUGACAACAGGAUCAGGAAUAUUGAACACAGGAGUGAUAACAUCAACUUCAUCCUCAUCACAAUUUUGAAGUAUCUCGAUCAUCCCUUGGUCUAGCAUCUCUUGGAUGUCCCUUCUUAUCUUGCGGCAUCCUCUUUCAUUGACAGUGCACACAUGGCACAUAUCGUGAUUGUGCUCAUAGUGAUUGUGCUCACAUAACAGCCUAUGCAUUUCCACCAGGGACUGCCUUUAUCAUUCACAUAAAGGACCUUACACUUGCCAGGGCAACCCUGAACCAUGUUAACAGCCGCCUUCCCAUGCUCGGGCAAUGGGUUCUUCUUAACAUUAGGGCUUACAUCCUCAAAGAAUAGUAUUCCACUCCUCACAAGGUCUUGCACCUUCGUCUUCAAUGGAAAGCAAUUCUCCACAUCAUGUUCGGGCGCGCCGGAAUGAUACACACAAUAAAGUUCAUGCUAGUACCACCAUUGAGGAUUGGCUGGCACAACAGGAGGAUCACGUGGAUUUAUCAACUUCCUAUCAAUCAAGGAAGGGUACAAUUCAGCAUAGGUCAUAGGAAUCGGGUCAAAAGUCAUUAUCUUCCUCUCAUAAUUGUUGGUGAUGUUGUUGUCAUUGUUGUUACGAGGCUGGUAAGCCUGUUGUUGUUGACGAGAUUAUUGUUGUGGUUGAGCUUCUCUGAAAGCAGGUGUUAUAUGAGCCACGUGGUGUUGGUUGACGGUUGGUCGCACUUCCUUCCUCCUCACCGAGCGCCUUCUUUUACUAUAGGAAGAAACAUCAUGAGUCUCCCCUUCCUUCUUUCUGGAAAAUCCUCCAUAUUUCUUUGCCGAAGAAAUAUCAUUACGGGACAGAUGUCCUUCACGAACUCCAUCUUCUAGCCACAUCCCCAUAUUUACCAUUUCGGUAAAGUCCGAGGAUGCACUAGUAAUCAUACUCUCAUAAUAGAAAGAGCUCAAAGUCUUCAAAAAGAUCUUUGUCAUCUCCUUCUCCUCCAAUGGUGGCACUAUCUGAGCUGCCAAUUCCCUCCACCUCUGGGCAUACUCCUUGAAGGUUUCCUUAUCUUUUUGGGACAUCGCCCAAAGUCUUCAAAAAGAUCUUUGUCAUCUCCUUCUCCUCCAAUGGUGGCACUAUCUGAGCUGCCAAUUCCCUCCACCUCUGGGCAUACUCCUUGAAGGUUUCCUUAUCUUUUUGGGACAUCGCCCUCAGCUGAUCUCUGUCCGGAGCCAUAUCCACGUUAUAUUUGUACUAUCUUACAAAAGCCUCACCGAGGUCAUUGAAAGUGCGCACAGAGCCACAAUCAAGACCCAUAUACCAUUUCAAGGCAGCGCUGGACAGGUUGUCUUGAAAAUAAUGGAUGAGCAGUUGAUCAUUGUCGGUAUGCGUAGACAUUUUUCUAGCAUACAUGACCAAAUGGCUAAGCGGACAGCUAUUCCCCUUGUAUUUUUCAAAGUCUGGGACCUUGAAUUUCAUCGAAAUCUUUACAUUUGGGACCAAACAGAUCUCUGAGGCGCUCUUCCCAAACAAAUCCUUCCCUCGAAGGGCCUUCAUUUCCUUCCUCAAGUCAGAGAACUGGUCUCUUAUCUCAUCUAACUUGUCAUACACAUCCGAGUUCUCAAAGGCCUCAGAAUGGUAGAUAGUCUCGUCAACACGGACUUGAGGAAUGGAAGCUAGAGUAGGAACAAAAUUAACCACCGGGGGUGGCACCACAGGGACCAGGCUAGAUGUCGGCUGAGCUUGCACUUGCGGAUGAUGUCCUUCGGGCAUGAAAUUAUGGGGCAUCCCCCAAGGGUAACUGGAAGGCAUGGCAUUGGCUGAUCCCAUAACAUGGGCUGGUAUAGAGGUAUGAGCUACCUCAGGCGCUUGAUUGGACGCAAACGAUUGCACAUUUACAACUUGCUUUUGAGCUUGGAGUAGAGACUCCACCAGAGCAGAUAACCGGCUGACUUCUUCUUUGAGUUCUCUUUUCUCGUUCUCUAGUUGCUCGGCCAUUGCUUUGACGUUUGCGCAAGUGCGGUAUGAAUGCGUCAGCUUGUCUUCAAAAUAAAUGAAGAGCAAAGAGUUAGACCAUUGUGUCAAGAGCUCGGAACCAAAACCUGCAUACGCAUAUGAUGCAUGCAAUGCUCGUGCAUAUGCUUUUGUUUUUUAUCGGAGGAACUUUAUAAGGAUCUAUUUGCAAAUGUUUUGAAAAUAUUGAAAUUUUUUGAGACAUAUGUGGAAUACUCAUAGCAAUAUAAUAUUUGGAAACUUUUUAUACCCAAGAAGUAGUACAGUCCCGGUAACCAAAUACAAUACAAGAGAAAAGGAGAAUAAACAUCCUAUGGAUCCCUAGAAGCAGUGGUCUACAGCCUUCGAGAUCGGAGGAUACGUCGCACGAAGCUUCUUCACCUCUCUCUCAUAAGCUGCUUCCAUGUCGGCCUUCUCUUUGGCGAGCUGAUCAUAUCUCUUCUUCCAAAACCUAGACGAGUGAGGUAGGAGAGAAUUAACCACAUCACCGGGUUCAUCAAUAACCUGAUGCUCUAGAAACUCGAUCAUUGCAUCCUUAUCCUUGAGCUGCUGAAGAAGCUCAUCACACUCACGAACCCAAGCACGCAAACAGUCUUCGUCUCUCAACUCCUCUACUCCUUGAUUAAGGAGGGUUGAAGGCCCAACCAUAACCAUAGGGGUAGGUCCCAGAUACUCAUACGGCAUGCGGUACUCGAGGGCUCUCUUCCUUACCCAAGAGGUGUAAGGCUCCAAAGCAACACAUUUCCUUGGACCAAGCUCAUUCCUCCCUUUCCUAUGAACCUUGCGCCACGCACGGACCAUCCUAUCCUUCAGGUUUUGGGGAUCUUUACCCUCUUGAAAGAAUAAGCCUUCCAACGAAAUGUUGUUAGGUUUAUCCUUUAAGGGGAACCCAAGCUAACAGCGAGCCAAAGCAGGGUUGUAGUUAAUUCCACCACAUGUACCAAGAAGAGGUACAUUGGAGAACUCACCACAAGAGUCAAUAAUCUUAACACCAUCAUAAACACGAUUAUACCAAGAGAUAUCAUCAUUAGUGAGAGACAUAAGUCCCGUGAACCACCGUAGACAUCUCUUGUUCUCCUUGAAGGCAAGCGCCUGAGGCAAGUGCGAUAUAAACCACUUGUACAAUAGAGGCAGACAACAUACGAUAGAACCACCACCCUUUGCAUUCCUCAUAUGCAAAGAGAAAUAAGUGUCACCCAACAGAGUCUGAACGGGAUUAAGAGAAGAGAAAAUCCUAAUAGCGUUCACGUCCACGAAGUUGUCGAUGUUGGGAAAUAACAUUAGUCCAUAGAUGAGGAGUACAAAUAUGGCUUCAAAAGCUUCCUUACUCAUGGCCUUCCUAAACAAGGUAGCUUUGGCAAUCAAAAAAUCAGAUAGGAGACCUUGAAUUCCACCAUUGGUAGUCAUAUUGGCAACAAUGUCGGAUACCUCCACAUGAAGCAUGUCAGCAAUCUCUUGGGAAGACGGCAUCUUCUCCAAACCAUUGAACGGCAAUCGGUCAAGAAUAGGUAUACCCACAUGAUAAGCGUACUCCUCCAAUAUAGGAGAAAGCUGGAAAUUCAGAAAAGUAAAGCACCAAUACAGAGGAUCGUAGAACUGCACCAACACACUCAUCAGACCCUCAUCCACCUUGGUAGAGAGAAUAACUAGAAGCUUCCCAUGGCGAGCUUUGAACUCCAAGGGCUCUAAUACAUAAGAUGUCAGACGCCUUAACUCUCUCAAGUCGGGUUGUCUGAAAAUGUACUUAUUUGUAUUCCUUCUUUGCUUAUCCAUGUCUGAAAAUUUGCAAAUAGACCUUUUAAGUUCCUUACAAAAAUCUUAUUGUCGAUGACAUGAAUGCAGAUGAAUUCAUGGAUACAUGGAUGCAACAAACACAUUCAAGAAUCAAGAAAGUCACACCACACAAAGGUGACGGGAUGGCUCAAGUCAUCAUCAAUAUCAAUCAUCUAUCUUGGUGGAUUAGAUUUUACAUCAUAUCAACACCCAAGAUCCAUUGAUUUUGAGGAUAUACAAUAAUGGAUCUAUCGCGAAUCACGGGUUUAUUGUGAGUCACGAGCAUGAAGUCUCGGUUAAGAAUCACCCAACGGGAGUGUACUACGGUUAAACCUGACAAUCAUGUUCUAAAAGGUUCCCAUAGUCAUCAUCCCAUCUUUCGGAUAUUAUCGGAUAAAACGGCUACUCAUCCUCCAAAAAUAUUCUCGAGAGAGACUUUUAUGAGUGUAGUAUCGCGUAACAAUCACAUCAAGUCUUACACUUGAACGACCUUCGCACUACGUCCUAAAAUAGGCCAAGACGGGCUAGGUAUCUAAGGUCCUUGAUUUCUAGGGUUCAUAUUGGAAAGAGUAAUGCCUAACCACGACUACUCGUGUGACAUUACUAAUCCCACUUUGACCACUUUUACAAAAAGAUAGAAACUUUGGUCUUAUGCCAUUGCAUUUUCAAACUUCUUUUCCUAAAUCAAACUUGUAAAUAAACUUAACCAUACUUGACUUAAACUUUCAAAAAGCCAAAAAAGAACUAACUCAUUCAAAUCAUUUUAGGCCUUUGUGCCUUUCAAACCUAAUUUUGUUAAAAUCAACAAACUCAUUUUGACAUUUAUAGCACAAACUACGAGGUUUUGAUCCCUCAUUUUUAUGUUGGUACGUAGGCACAAGACCGAAGGUCUUGUCAAACACAAAUAUAUAAUUAAUGAAUUCUUUUUUCUCAUCCCCCCAUUCUAUUUGUUUGUAAAUAUCACUUUGUACAAAAUACAUAUCCACACAAAAAGGGCUCCCUAGGAGUACCUAGGACACUUUGGGUGCUAACACCGUCCCUCUGUGUAACCAACCCCCUUACCUGGGAUCUCUGACUUUUAUUAGUUUUUAUUUGAAAAUUUCUUACACAUUAGGUUUUGUUCGUAAUUUUUCCCUUUUCCCUUGGAAACAAUAAAAAUGCGAUGGCGACUCUUGUUAAUUGAUCUCUAGCUUGUCAAUAGCUUGAUGAUCAUGAAUUUUCUGCUACAAUUAUUAUAUCCUCGUUCCUUAGAAACGAAUAAAGAAUAGUGACGACUCUGUAAUUUUUUCAACCGCGACAGUUAUCAUCGAUUCUUACUCCAUUUCUAGUUUCAAAAUAGAACAUUAUACUUCCCUCCUUCUACAAAUUUCUUGUGUCAUUACAAAUGCAAUAAAUCCUGUAAACCUUUCCCUAAAAUAUAGUAUGCAUUGUCUUUUUCAAAAACAGCCAAUUACAUUAACGUUUAAUUUAGUUAUUUUUUAUUCGUGGCCAUUUGACUUCAAAAAGAGAAUUUGUUAUGUUGGCCAAAUUUAAAAUUCGAUAAUGACAUGGUAUAAUUUAAUAAAAAUAGCAUUAAAUCUAUUAUAAUUUUUUAAUGAGUCAGAUCUAUAAAUACUAGAGAUAAAUUUAAAAGUCUUACGCCAAAUCUUAACAUUUAAUAUGAAUAAAUCAGUAGCAUAUUUUUUAAGAAAAAAUAUUUUUUUAUUUUUUUAUUUCAUAUAUUUAAUAUGACCGUCUGAUUCAAUCAACCAUUAAGAUUUAAUAUAAGUCUUUUAGACUUAUAAAUGGUGUCAACGAAUUCAAACUCUUAUUUAUGAUUUUUUUUUAAAAUAACCUAUUUUUUCAAUUAAAAUGCUAAAAUAACCAUUGUUUCAAAAUAUUUACCGAAAUAACCAUCUUUCAUGAAGCACGCGGCAGUUAGACUGGCGCAUCCAUUUUGUCAACAUACAAUUCGAGUCGCCACCGCACUUUUAUUUAUCCAAAGGAAAGGCUAAAAAGCAAACAAAAUCCAUGUAAGACAUUUUUCAUAUCAAAAACUAGUAAAAAUGUUAGAGAUCUAGGUAAAGGGGUUGGUUAUAAAAUGGGAAGGUUUUACGCACCCAAAACAUCCUUAGUACUCUAAGGAAACCCUUUUUGCAAAUAUGUAUUGUACGUAUGUAUUUGUGAAAAGAUUUGUUCAAAAGAUUGGAGGGAUGAGAAGAGAAUAGAUUAUAUUUACAAAUUUUGUUGUUUGAAUGGAUGAACCCAUUGCCUACGUACCAUCACAAAGGAGGAUCAAAACCUCGCUGUUCAUGGUAGAAAUCUCAAAGAUUGGUGAAUUGAUUUUUAUCAAAAGCAUUAAGGUCUUUUGUUAUCAAAAGGAGAAAACUCAACCUAAACCAACAAACCACCAUGUGAGGAAGGCUUCAACAUGCUAGUGAGGGGUUAACCCUAUAACAAGCAUGGAAGGCUUAUAAUCCAACACUAAGGAUGAGGUGAGAUUUACAUCAACCACUAUGAUAACUCAAACCUAUGACUAAUGUUUUUGAAAAGAGUUCAACAAGUGGUCAUUGGAACCACAAAACAACUUGAAAUGGGUUAUAUUUACAAGUUAAAUUUAUUUACAAAAUGAGGUCAAAGUUGGAUUAAAGUUUAUUUACAAUUGAAGUGUUAUGAAAUGGUUUUGAAAAUCAAAGGCCUAAUAAGGCCUAGUUUCAAAUUUGAAAUAAAGUCAAAGUUUUGAAAAUUAUUUCUGCUUGGUAGAGAGGGGGGGGGGGGAAGAGAAAAGGGCUAUUCCUAGAGCAUACAAAGAUAAGAGGGAAAGAUAACCCUUGGAGUUCCUUUUUCUGGAGUCAUAGAGAUGACUCAAGAUGCUCCUUUCUUUGAUUUAUCACAUAAAACAAGCACUUAAUAAUUUGAAUUCAAGGUCCUAGGAAUCCCACUUGUGCUUGCUCUAAACUUGCUACUCUGACAACGAUCCUCUUUUCAUAAUCUUAAGAUGAGGUUCUAUCCAAAAGCACACAUCAAAAAGCUCACAACAUAAUAAAGGGAAUGGACAAAGAAUAAGUUUGUGGAGAAGUCCUUUUGAGGUCAACUUUGAAUUUUAGCAUUCUAAAGGCAUGAGGCCUAAUUGCUCUUCAACACAUUUUGCAUUCUAAAGGCAUGAGGCCUAGUUACUCUUGAACUCCUUUAAGCAUGAGUGAGUCCUAAUUCUAAGUCCUUUCUCCUUUUGCAUUUUGGUUCACAUCAAAACAAACACAAAACAACACAAAAUAGCAAUAUAUCUAUAUACAAUAAUGGGCUCAAAUGAGCAAAAGAAAAAUGACAUAAACAUAAAAUAUGUGCUCAAGUGAGCAAACUGAAAAUCAAGAUGAAUAAUGAGCAAGAAAUAAAUGACAUUAAAAGUAAAUGACAAGAGUUUAAAAGCUCAAAUUAAACUUAGUGGUUAGUAGAGUUAUGUUAGCUUGUCAUAAGACAAUGUAACGCUAUGUUAAGCAAUCGUAAGUGGACUAAUAUUGUAGCCACACCUAUCUGAGGCCGGUCAAUAAGAAUAUAGGCAAAGAACACAAGUUAGAGGUCAUGACUAGUAAGCCAAGCUCCAUAAACUUCCCAUGCCAAACAAAAAGGGGAAGGGCCUUGUAUUGACUUUUGGUUAUUUGCUUGACUGUAGCGGGGUAUUCGUUACCUUUAGAUUUAUUGACUAAAUCAAAAGUAAAUCAUACAAUUCGAGUCGCCAGCGCACUUCUAUUUAUCCAAAGGAAAGGUUAGAAAGCGAACAAAAACCGAGAAGUUUUAUCAAAUCAAAAACUAAUAAAAAUGUCAGAGAUCUGGGUAAGGGGGUUGGUUAUGCAAUGGGAAGGUUUUAAGCACCCAAAACAUCCUUAGUACUCUAAGGGAGCCCUUUUUACAAAUGUUGUAUGGUAGGUUAGUAUUUGUGAAAAUAUUUGUGCAAACAUGAUUGGGGAGAUGAGAGAAGAAUAUACAAGUUAUUUAUAAUUUUGUGUUUGAAUGGAUAAACACAUUGCCUACGUACCAUCUUAAAAAGGUAGGAUCAAAACCUCGUAGUUUGGGGUAAAAAUCUCAAAAGAAGUUGGUGAGUUGAUUGGCCAAAAGCCUUAAGGUCUUUUGUUAUCCAAGGGAGAAAACUCAACCUAGAACCAAAAAUCCACCAUGUAAGGAGAGCUUCAACAUGCUAGUGAGGGGGUAACCCUAUAAUAAGCAUGAAAGACUUAUAGUCCAUCACUAAGGAUAUAUGUGAGUAUUAUAUCAACCUCUAGGAUAACUCAAACCUAAUAACUAAUGUUUAUGAAAAGUUUUAACACAAAUGGUUAUUGGAACCACAAAAACAAUUGAGUGAGUUGUAUUUACAAAUGAAAAGUAUUCACAAAAUAAGGUCAAAGUUGACUUAGGAUUCAAUUCAAAAUAAAUGUUAUGAAAAUAUUUUGAAAAAUCAAAGGCAUAAUGCCUAGGUUUCUAAUUUUUGAAAACAAUGUUAAUGUUUGCACAAAGGUUUGGCUUGGGUUAGAGUGGAGAGAAGAGAAUGACUAGGUCCUAAACAUGCAAAGAUGAGGGAGGAGAAAUAAAACCAUUUGGAGUUCCCUUCUUGAGAUCAUAAAGAUUAUCCAAGUUGCUCCAUUCCUUUGGAUAUAACAAGCAAUAAGCAAAUAGCUCAAGCAAUCAAGCAAAUAAUCCAUCAAGCUCCUAGGAAUCUUCCAAUUGGCUUUUGUAUCUCUUAUCUUGAAAUGUCCAUGAAAAUGGUUCUUCUAAUUGGCUCAAGUUUAGGAUCCCUAGCAUACAAGAACACACAAGUUAAAAAGUUCCACAAUGCAAUAGAACGAAUGGACAAGAGUGAGUUUAGAACUAGGAUCCUUUCAAAGUUUUCUUCAAGAUUAAGCAUUCUAAAGGCAUGAGGCCUAGUUGCUCUUUGACAAUUUUCUUUUUUUAGCAUUCUAAAGGCAUGAGGCCUAGUUGCUCUUCAAACUCCAUUUAGCAAAGGUAAGGUCCUAAAAUCUAAGUCCUUUCUCCAUUUGCAUUGGGUUCACACAAACAAAAUAAAACAAGCAUAAUAGUAUAUACACAAUAUUGUGCUCAAGUGAGCAAAAGGCAAAUUGCAUUAACAUAAACAUGAGCUCAAGUGAGAAAAGGGAAAAGGAAAAUGAAUUAAUGUGCAAGAAAUUAAAUUUCAUUAAAGUAAAUUGCAAGAAUUAAAUGCUUGAAUUAAAAGUUAGUAAUUAAUAGUUAGUGUUAGUGUGUCAUAAGGAAAUUUAGCGUUAUGUUAAGCACUCGUAAGAGGACUAAUGUAGUAGUCACACCUAUCUGAGGCCGGUCAAUAAAACUAUAGGCAACAAACAAAAGUUAGAGACCAUGACUAGUAAGCCAAGCUUCUACAACUUGCCAUGCCAAAAGAAAAGAAGAAUGAUCUUGUAUGGAUUUAGGUUUUUUGCUUGACCAAGAAGCAACCUAUCUCUAAUGCAAAGCAAUUCACUUGAUCUUUGAUCAAGAUGAAUUUGAUUUGAUCAAUAAAGAAGGUUAGCCCCUCAUAUUCAAGGCUAACACACCAUCAUUAACUCAUUGAUCAUAAAAAGAAAAAAAACUAGAGAGAAGAGAGAAAUGGAAUGUAGAUAAUUGAAAUUCAAAUGACAUAACCAACACGCAUGAUCAAACAUGAAUGGAAUCAAGUCAAUCAAUGGUAACAGAAGUGAGAUGAGGCUUAGAAGUCAAAAACAAUAAAAUAUUUUUGGUAAUUUUUGGAAUUAAAUAAUACUUGAAUUAAAAUAAACAAAUAAAGGUCAAACUUCAAAUCCAUUUCAUAUCAACUUGGAAAAGUCCAAAUGGAUCAUCCUAAGUUCAACAUGGUCAAACAAAGUUUGACAAAAAAUCAUCAUUUUUUGAAAACAGAAACUAAUUUUAAACUAUUAAAAUGAAAAGAAAUAAAAUAAUUGAACUAAAAUCUCAAAUAAUCGUCAAUUCAAUUAAGAAAUUGAUGAGAAUAUUUUUCAUAGAUUCAUCAUCAUUCAAAGAUGUUAAGAAAAUAUUUUUGGCAUUUUUGAAUAUUGGAAAGUAUUUUAAAUGAAUUAAAAAUAAUCCGAAAAGAGAAAAUUCACAAAAAAAUAUUAAAUGGAAUCAUAAAAAAUAUUAAAAAUCAUUUUUAGAAACUAGAAUUAAAAAGAGAAAUAUUGCAAUUGGUCCCAUAUUUUUAUGAUUUAAAAUGAAGAAGUUAUGAAUUUUUGAAAUAAAAUGAAAUAAAAGAAAAUAAAAUGGAAAAUCAGAAAUUAGAAAAAUCAUGGAGCGUCUGAUCUUGUCUCAUUAAAUGACGUGGAUCAUCACAUGGCCAGGAAGCGCGCGCUCACCAUACGUAUUAGUCAAACGCGUGGUAGGAUGCAUUAAAUGAAGUCAUAACAUUCAAGCUCUGGGAUUAAAUCUGGAAACAACAUCCAAUGGUCCAGAACUCAUCCACGUGGGGACGGUGGUGUACACCACCGUCUUCUCCGGUGAGAUUCACAGUUCAGGCCAAAACUUGCAGGUUUUUAAAACUUCACCAAAAUGCACUAUCUAUAUAUCUUUAGAAAGCUGGGGUGAUGUACAUCACCCUUGUGCCAUUGGUUUCCACUCAAGGUCUCUAUAGAGAGAGAAAGCUGGGGUGAUGUACAUCACCCUUGUGCCAUUGCUCCAUUCAUGAAAUUAAAUGCACAAAUCAAUUGCGUUUCACAUGAGGACUUCAGAGGUACCAAUAAACACAAGAAAUGAUCAGUAUCCAAGGAGUUUCGAAUCAAAAAAGUUUGAACAACAACCUUUGAAGUGCAACUUUACAAGACUUGAUCCACUCCAAUUGUUUGAUGCAGUGUGUUCUUGAUGUAACAAAGAAGCUAGGCUAAGGAAUUGAAGUUCAGAGAUCAACCAAUGAAGUUGAAAUCUAAGCUUGAAAAUUUGAGAGAAAAAGCAAAAUUCCUUUGAGUGAAGGUUAGGGAUUCAAUUGUGCAGCAGUUCAGGUGCCUUGAGGUUGGAUUUUGAAGAGGAAUAGAGCUUUUAUUUGUAGCCAGGCAUGAUGCAAGCAAUGAGAAAUCCGUGUGCAUGUGAAGUUGGGGCCUCCAUGCAUGGGCCUGUACAGGCGCAUGUACGGCCCAUAGUCCAUUGCAAAUGCAAGCUGAGAUGAGUGUGCAAUGGUUUGGACGUGCAGAUUUGAUUGCAUUGGCUUGUGCAUUAAGAUUCAACAUGGUUUCCAUAAAUGAACACAAAUCUUCACCGAUUUGAAAAUGCUACUUACAAAAUUGAAACAUAGCCAUGUGGUUAAUGGUUGGAAAGGUCUUGACAUAAGGAACAAAUGUUAUGUUGAACCAAAAUCCAUUUGCAGUUGGGAAAUUCAUGAAAAUAGACCUUGAAGUCCAAGGUGCAAAACAUGUAUAUGGAAAUUUUGCCAAAAUGGACCAACUUCAAGCCCUUCUGUUUCAAUGAUGCAAGCCUCAAAUGACAAAACCUUCGACAUAGAAGUUGUAUAUAUUUUCAAGACAAUCAAUUUUUACUUAAAGUUUGCAUCAUUUGGAUUUUUUAUAAGAAAGUCAUGGGCACUUGAAAUUGGACUUUUUCACAUUUCAAUGACUUUGGUCCAAAGUGACCUAUAAUGAUUUGUAUUAUCACAUGUGUUUAUUUUAGGAUUAUGAAAUUUUGUUCAACAUAACAAAUGAAGUAGACAUCUUAAAAUUUCUAAUGCAUUUGAUCACACCUCAAAAUCAUAAAAAAUGAAGGAGUUAGGUCCUUGGGAAGUUGACGUAAAAUUAGGGUUUCAGUUCAAAAUGACCUUAAAUUUUUUGAAAUGAAUGAUGACCUUCCCAGUUUCAAAUGGAUUUGUGAUGAUUAUGAAAGUUUUUCAUAUGGUUCUUAAGAACAGUUUUUAUCUUGGGGUAAUCUUCAUUUGACAAAUACAUCAAAAGUUAGGUCUCAGUGGAUUUCAGAAUAGUCAGAUGAAUUGACUGACCAACUUCUCAAGUCCAAACUUCAAAUCUUAGUGAAUUGAUGAUUGAGGACACUCACAUAAGCUCAAUAUGCAUGAAAUAAUGAAUGAAAGAACUUCCCUUGAUUGUAUUUGAUCAUGGGUUGAGGUUGCUUCAUGAGCAAGGCACAGUCAAUGCACAGAUGAAUUAGGGUUUCCUUGGGAAACAAUCCUCAAGCCCUUUGGUUUAUCUUAUGAUUGUAUUUGAUCAUGGGUUGAGGUUGCUUCAUGAGCAAGGCACAGUCAAUGCACAGAUGAAUUAGGGUUUCCUUGGGAAACAAUCCUCAAGCCCUUUGGUUUAUCUUGAUCAAAUUGACAAAUUAAGAUUCUUAGGUGGCAUAUUUUAUUGUUGAGAGCUUUGUGAACCAUUGUCAUGUUUGCUUUCAACUUCAUCUGGCCACAUCAAUGAGUAUAGGGGCCUCCUAGGAGCCUUGUAUCACAUGAUUGCUCAAGCUUCAAAACAAAACAAGUUAGUGACAUAUUUUUGUGCUUUUGGUUAGUAAACAAAAUAAGAAAAGAAAUAAUAUACAAUUCAAGCAUGCUUGGUGGUCUCAAAACACUCAAACAAUUCCCAACCCUAGGGUUAAGGAGCCAAACAUGCUAUGAUCCUUGAGGCAAGAUGCAAAAAUGCAAUGAUAUGAUGCCAUGAGGGAUCUUAGGGUCAAAAUUAGGGUCUUACAGAUACCCCUAUUUAAGGUCAUUCUAGCUGGAGAUAUGAAGUUUAAAAUCUUCAUCUCGACGAGGAAGAAUGGGCUUAAAUAAUAACAAAGAGACAAAUUUUGGUCUCUAAGAGACCUCAUGAUGCAAAUGUAUGUAUGCAAUAGUUAAUGCUCUUGGGGAUAUGUCCACAAAGGAAAAAGAAAUCAAGAGAAACUGAAAAUCCAUAUGAGUAAUACACUCAUAAAUGGGACAGAGACUCUGGGGGACUUUACUAGGAGUAAAGGGGAAAAUGCGUGGGCAGGUCACGACUUAAAACUUGCUGAGAGACACGAAGAGAUUCCAUGAAAAUAUAUCGAUGGAAAGACUCGAGCUGACACAGAGAUGCAUGUAUUAAGGAAUAUGUCACUACAACAAAACUAUCCAUAAAGGAUACUUCGGAUACAAAUCUGGACUCGGAUGGGGAAAAUCCGCUAAGGGACUCAGGCGGGGAUAUCCAUAAAGGACUCAGCUGAGGAAGAAACAAAUGAGGUAUUACCGGCUACUGAGUAAUAAGCUCAAAGAGACAUGUGAUCAAAACACCGGUAUAAGGGUGAGAGAACAACACGCUCAGGGAUAAUGAAUUUCUAAGACCGGUAUAAGGGUGAGAGAUAUCAAUCAUCCAAAACAUCUGAGGAAAAACCUAAAAGGUAUAUUUCAACUCAGCAAAAUAUGACUCCACAAGGGACAAAAGUCAUAAUAGGGAGCAGAAGGAAGGAACAACAGGGAUACCGAUUACUGGGCAUAUAAUAGGUGACCAACCAGGCGUGAAUUGGGGAAUAUGUCCAAAACACUCAUCAUCCGAAAGGAGGGCUGUAAAAGCGAACUCGAUUACAGGAUGGGCAUUCGAUUCCAUAAGGAAAUACGAAUCUUACUCAACUGGGGAAGAAAAAUACUUCGACUGAAGAGCGCAUGAGAUAUAUUAUCUAUUACCGUCAGAACGUAGAUAACAUACUCGCAUGGAAGAUUAUCCACAACCGGUUACUGGGUUAAUAAAGGAUAAAUCGACCGAAAAGAAAGGAUGAAGAGCGCAUGAGAUAUAUUAUCUAUUACCGUCAGAACGUAGAUAACAUACUCGCAUGGAAGAUUAUCCACAACCGGUUACUGGGUUAAUAAAGGAUAAAUCGACCGAAAAGAAAGGACAUCGGGACACCGACUACUAGGUAUAAAAUGA
rnacentral:lncRNA from 1 species